rnacentral:rRNA from 1 species
UACGUAGGGUGCAGGCGUUAAUCGGAAUUACUGGGCGUAAAGCGUGCGCAGGCGGUUUGCUAAGACAGGUGUGAAAUCCCCGGGCUUAACCUGGGAACUGCGCUUGUUACUGGCAAGCUGGAGUGUGGCAGAGGGGGGUGGAAUUCCACGUGUAGCAGUGAAAUGCGUAGAGAUGUGGAGGAACACCGAUGGCGAAGGCAGCGUUCUGGACUGUAACUGACACUGAGGAACGAAAGCCAGGGGAGCAAACGGG